rnacentral:rRNA from 1 species
ACUCCUACGGGAGGCAGCAGUGGGGAAUAUUGGACAAUGGGGGAAACCCUGAUCCAGCCAUGCCGCGUGUGUGAAGAAGGCCUUCGGGUUGUAAAGCACUUUCAGUGGGGAGGAAAGGUUGUUGGUUAAUACCUAACAGCUGUGACGUUACCCACAGAAGAAGCACCGGCUAACUCCGUGCCAGCAGCCGCGGUAAUACGGAGGGUGCAAGCGUUAAUCGGAAUUACUGGGCGUAAAGCGUGCGCAGGCGGUCUGUUAAGCGAGAUGUGAAAGCCCCGGGCUCAACCUGGGAACUGCAUUUCGAACUGGCAGACUAGAGUCUUGUAGAGGGGGUAGAAUUCCAGUGUAGCGGUGAAAUGCGUAGAGAUCUGAAGGAAUACCGGUGCGAAGGCGACCACCUGGCCAAUAACUGACACUGAGACGCGAAGGCGUGGGUAGCAAACGGGAUUAGAUACCCUGGUAGGCCGAUG